UACAGGGGGGGCAAGCGUUGUCCGGAGUUACUGGGCGUAAAGGGCAUGCAGGCGGUCGGACGCGUUUCGGGUGACAGCGGGUGGCUUAACUACCCGAGUGGUCGAAAGACGGUUUGACUUGAGGACGCGAGAGGGACACGGAAUUCCGGGUGGAGUGGUGAAAUGCGUAGAGAUCCGGAGGAACACCGAAGGCGAAGGCAGUGUCCUGGCGCGUAACUGACGCUGAGGUGCGAAAGCCAGGGGAGCGAACGGG
rnacentral:rRNA from 1 species